rnacentral:rRNA from 1 species
GGGGAAUAUUGCACAAUGGGGGAAACCCUGAUGCAGCGACGCCGCGUGAGUGAAGAAGUAUUUCGGUAUGUAAAGCUCUAUCAGCAGGGAAGAAAAUGACGGUACCUGACUAAGAAGCCCCGGCUAACUACGUGCCAGCAGCCGCGGUAAUACGUAGGGGGCAAGCGUUAUCCGGAUUUACUGGGUGUAAAGGGAGCGUAGGUGGUUCGGUAAGUCAGAUGUGAAAGCCCGGGGCUCAACCCCGGGACUGCAUUUGAAACUAUCGAACUAGAGUGCAGGAGAGGUAAGUGGAAUUCCUAGUGUAGCGGUGAAAUGCGUAGAUAUUAGGAGGAACACCAGUGGCGAAGGCGGCUUACUGGACUGCAACUGACACUGAGGCUCGAAAGCGUGGGGAGCAAAC